CAAGGGUCACUUUACCUCCCCGCCCCACACCUGCGAGGCUCCCCGACCCAGCCCACAGCUUGGCCCGUUGGGAGUUUUUCUCAUAGCCCCACCACCCCAACCCCGGCUCUGCACUUGGGCCUGGGGAAGGAGGCCUGCCUUGGCGACUCCAGCUGCUGUUGGAUGAAUUUAGUCCUUGCACCACCCGCUUCCUCCCAGGCUCCUUCGGUCAUGGCUGUGACUAGAGCUGAAGGAGGGCCUGCCUGGCCCAGAGAAGGCAAGUGGAGGACACUGAAGUUCUGCGAGGUACUGCAGGGAGAGAACAAGACCCAG